rnacentral:lncRNA from 1 species
CAAAGCAAAAUUCAAGUUGGUAUAUAAUGAACAAACAAAUUUAGCUGUUGUCCAAAAGGAUCUCCUUCUAACAAUUCCUUGUCAAGAAACACUAUCAAUGAUUUAUUUAAUAAAUGUAAUCCUUUUACUAGAACAAAGGAGAAGAGAAAAAGAUAAGAAGGAAACUCUUUGCCUAAACCAAAGCAAAAUUCAAGUUGGUAUAUAAUGAACAAACAAAUUUAGCCGUUGUCCAAAAGGAUCUCGUUCUAACAAUUCCUUGUCAAGAGACUAUCAAUGAUUUAUUUCAUUAAUGUAAUCCUUUUUCUAGAACAAAGGAGAAGAGAAAAAUAUAAGAAGGAAACUCUUCGCCUAAACCAAAGCAAAAUUCAAGUUGGUAUAUAAUGAACAAACA